rnacentral:rRNA from 1 species
UCCCUGGCUCAGGAUGAACGCUGGCGGCGUGCCUAAUACAUGCAAGUCGAGCGAAUGGAUUAAGAGCUUGCUCUUAUGAAGUUAGCGGCGGACGGGUGAGUAACACGUGGGUAACCUACCCAUAAGACUGGGAUAACUCCGGGAAACCGGGGCUAAUACCGGAUAAUAUUUUGAACUGCAUAGUUCGAAAUUGAAAGGCGGCUUCGGCUGUCACUUAUGGAUGGACCCGCGUCGCAUUAGCUAGUUGGUGAGGUAACGGCUCACCAAGGCGACGAUGCGUAGCCGACCUGAGAGGGUGAUCGGCCACACUGGGACUGAGACACGGCCCAGACUCCUACGGGAGGCAGCAGUAGGGAAUCUUCCGCAAUGGACGAAAGUCUGACGGAGCAACGCCGCGUGAGUGAUGAAGGCUUUCGGGUCGUAAAACUCUGUUGUUAGGGAAGAACAAGUGCUAGUUGAAUAAGCUGGCACCUUGACGGUACCUAACCAGAAAGCCA